CGCUGGCGGCGCGCCUAACACAUGCAAGUCGACCGUGAGAUGAAGAGCUUGCUCUUCAAAUCGAGUGGCGAACGGGUGAGUAACGCGUGAGGAACCUGCCUCAAAGAGGGGGACAACAGUUGGAAACGACUGCUAAUACCGCAUAAGCCCACGGCUCGGCAUCGAGCAGAGGGAAAAGGAGCAAUCCGCUUUGAGAUGGCCUCGCGUCCGAUUAGCUAGUUGGUGAGGUAACGGCCCACCAAGGCGACGAUCGGUAGCCGGACUGAGAGGUUGAACGGCCACAUUGGGACUGAGACACGGCCCAGACUCCUACGGGAGGCAGCAGUGGGGAAUAUUGCACAAUGGGGGAAACCCUGAUGCAGCGACGCCGCGUGGAGGAAGAAGGUCUUCGGAUUGUAAACUCCUGUUGUUGAGGAAGAUAAUGACGGUACUCAACAAGGAAGUGACGGCUAACUACGUGCCAGCAGCCGCGGUAAAACGUAGGUCACAAGCGUUGUCCGGAAUUACUGGGUGUAAAGGGAGCGCAGGCGGGAGAACAAGUUGGAAGUGAAAUCCAUGGGCUCAACCCAUGAACUGCUUUCAAAACUGUUUUUCUUGAGUAGUGCAGAGGUAGGCGGAAUUCCCGGUGUAGCGGUGGAAUGCGUAGAUAUCGGGAGGAACACCAGUGGCGAAGGCGGCCUACUGGGCACCAACUGACGCUGAGGCUCGAAAGUGUGGGUAGCAAACAGGAUUAGAUACCCUGGUAGUCCACACCGUAAACGAUGAUUACUAGGUGUUGGAGGAUUGACCCCUUCAGUGCCGCAGUUAACACAAUAAGUAAUCCACCUGGGGAGUACGACCGCAAGGUUGAAACUCAAAGGAAUUGACGGGGGCCCGCACAAGCAGUGGAGUAUGUGGUUUAAUUCGACGCAACGCGAAGAACCUUACCAAGUCUUGACAUCCUGCGACGCACAUAGAAAUAUGUGUUUCCUUCGGGACGCAGAGACAGGUGGUGCAUGGUUGUCGUCAGCUCGUGUCGUGAGAUGUUGGGUUAAGUCCCGCAACGAGCGCAACCCUUAUGGUCAGUUACUACGCAAGAGGACUCUGGCCAGACUGCCGUUGACAAAACGGAGGAAGGUGGGGAUGACGUCAAAUCAUCAUGCCCUUUAUGACUUGGGCUACACACGUACUACAAUGGCGUUAAACAAAGAGAAGCAAGACCGCGAGGUGGAGCAAAACUCAGAAACAACGUCCCAGUUCGGACUGCAGGCUGCAACUCGCCUGCACGAAGUCGGAAUUGCUAGUAAUCGUGGAUCAGCAUGCCACGGUGAAUACGUUCCCGGGCCUUGUACACACCGCCCG
rnacentral:rRNA from 1 species